CUGGGAGCCACAAGUGAGAGCUGGGUGUCAGGUAGGGGUCAGAGGCUGGAGAGCUGCCCUAGGAGGGCACGACAAGCCCUCCAUACCAAGGUGCUACCCCUCCCUGAGCACCCAAAGAAAUUAAAGCACAGGGGAAGAAAAAGAAAAGGAAAGGAAAGAACAUCAACAAGCAGGAAAGGAACCAGAGGAGAGCAUCUAGGAGCUGAAAUAAUGAAAGGUUGGGAAAUCCAUAAGAGGCACCUUUCUUCUGAAGCCAGAGAAAAGUGUCGACAGAGAGCAGAUCGCUUAAGUGCAUGGAAAGAACUGGAAAGUAAGGAGUAUGAUGGAACAAAUUAUGCUGUAUGAAUGUAAUGGAACAUUAUUGCACUGCAAAAAGCUACUUGUACAAACUGAUGCAAAUUAAACUGACUAGACCCAGGAAAGCAAUGUAUUCAGCAACAACAUUCUAACAAAAAUAACUGAAAGGUUUAAGAAUUCUAACCAAUUCAGUGACCAAAUUUCCCGAGGACCAAUGAUGAAGCAUGUUACCUGUACCUACUUAGAGAGGUCUCAUAGCACAGAAUAAAACAUGCUUAAAUGAAAUGUGUUGUUUAUGU
rnacentral:lncRNA from 1 species